UGUUUGUUAUGGCUCGUGCCACAAAAUAUCACAUCCAGUUUUCAUUCUUCAUCUGCAUCAUCAUCAUCCUGGAGGCGAGCAUAGCAGAAUGGCGAUAAAUGGUAUCCCAACUUCUUUUGAGAUUGACCACCAGAGGAAACAACAACACCAAAACACUCUCUCGCGAGAAACAUACAUAUAUUAUAUAUAUAAUACCAUUUAUUGACUGGAUUGUCUCACUUCUUUUGCACUUUUCUGACGUUGAGAAAUCCCAGAGGCGAGAGACUCACUCACAAGAAUGAAUUAUAACCAUAUUAUUGCACCAAUGGUGAUCGAUGCAGAAUGCAGCCCAAGUUGUGCAAGAGAAAAUUUGUGAAAAUUUUCACAGAACCUCAUUAAUCACCAUACCAGAAACACAGGUUGAAGACGAUCUUAUUUUGAAAAGUAAAAUUGCGAUUGUAAUUGUUAUGGAUCAAAUGUCCAAAUAAAGUCAAUUCUUCCCAUAAA